rnacentral:tRNA from 1 species
GGCGGCGUAGCUCAGUGGUAGAGCAGCAGACUCAUAAGCUGUUGGUCGGGGGUUCAAAUCCCUCCGCCGCUACCA